GUCAAUAACCCCUGUCUGAAGACAGAGGCUUGAAAGAGCCUUUAUUGACUAGCCUCAGCGCCCCUCUUUCGAGAGGCGCUACGUUGGUUGGGAAUAUAUAGGCACCGUGGGAUGUACAUCCUAGUUCCACGCUCUGCGGCCUGUGAUUAAAAGCUCCGAGAGGUAGGAGCGGUGUUGCAGGCACCAAACCCCUUCCAACAUUGGCGAAGGAUGUCAACCCGGCCUUCGGG
rnacentral:sRNA from 1 species